rnacentral:lncRNA from 1 species
UUGAGAAAAAUAAAAAUGACAAAGACAAUAAUAAAAGUAAUAAAAAGAAAAACAUGAAAAGGAUAGGCGGAAAGUCUAUAUAAGCAGAUUGAAUGAGACGGCUUAACUCACAAAUACACAUAAUAUCAACAUUUUAUACUUGACUUUGCCCCUUAAUUUCUGCUUCUAUAAUAUGAAAGCCUUGAAAUUGCUUUCCAUAUAUUUGCUAAUGUCGACAUUCUUUACACAUUUCUAUAUAAGUAAUAUUAUUGACUUCCUUGUUU